rnacentral:rRNA from 1 species
CGAACGCUGGCGGCGUGCUUAACACAUGCAAGUCGAACGGACUGAGUUGAUAGCUUGCUAUUGAUGAGGUUAGUGGCAAACGGGUGAGUAACGCGUAGGCAACCUGCCCUUCAGAUGGGGACAACACCUCGAAAGGGGUGCUAAUACCGAAUGACGUUGCGCUGUCGCAUGACGGUGCAACCAAAGGCCGGGCAACCGGUCGCUGAAGAGGGGUUUGCGUCUGAUUAGGUAGUUGGUGAGGUAACGGCCCACCAAGCCGACGAUCAGUAGCCGGUCUGAGAGGAUGAACGGCCACAUUGGGACUGAGACACGGCCCAGACUCCUACGGGAGGCAGCAGUGGGGAAUCUUCCGCAAUGGACGAAAGUCUGACCCAGCAACGCCGCGUGAAGGAAGAAGGCUUUCGGGUUGUAAACUUCUUUUGUCAGGGACGAGCAGAAGACGGUACCUGACGAAUAAGCCACGGCUAACUACGUG